rnacentral:tRNA from 1 species
GGGUGCUUAGCUCAGUCGGUAGAGCGGCGCCCUUACAAGGCGUAGGUCGGGAGUUCGAGCCUCUCAGCACCCA